rnacentral:misc_RNA from 1 species
AAAUGCGAUAAGUAAUGUGAAUUGCAGAAUUCAGUGAAUCAUCGAAUCUUUGAACGCACAUUGCGCCCGCCAGUAUUCUGGCGGGCAUGCCUGUCCGAGCGUCAUUUCAACCAUCAAGCCCCCGGGCUUGUGUUGGGGACCUGCGGCUGCCCGCAGGCCCUGAAAACCAGUGGCGGGCUCGCUGUCACACCGAGCGUAGUAGCAAUCACCUCGCUCAGGGCGUGCUGCGGGUUCCGGCCGUUAAACAGCCUUACAAAACCCAAGGUUGACCUCGGAUCAGGUAGGAAGACCCGCUGAACUUAGGC